rnacentral:rRNA from 1 species
UUUAAUGAAAGAUAAAAAUAUAAGAUAUUAAAUGAUAAAUCAUUAAAUUUAAAAGAUUUGGCUGUAUUUUAUAAAAUUAGAGGAAUCUGUUUAUUAAUUGAUAGUCCACGAUAAGAAAUACUUAUUUAUUAUUUAUGUAUUGCUGUUUAUAGAAUAUUAUUAAUUAAAUAUUUAAAUUUUUAAAUUUUAAUUUAUUUCAAGUCAAAAUAUAGUAUAAUUAAGGAUUUAAUGGAUUACAAUUUAUUUAUUAAUUGGAAAAAUUAAUUUAAUUUAAUUUUAAAAUUGGAUUUAAAAGUAAAUUUAAUAAAUUAAUUAAUUUGAAUAAUAAUUAAAAUAAGU